UGCCGGGUUGUGUAAUGGUAGCACCACGGACUUUGGAUCCGUUUGUCCAGGUUCGAAUCCUGGCCCGGCAG
rnacentral:tRNA from 1 species